AACCUAGCACACCUGCGGUGUGUACCUGCGGAAGGAUCAUUAAAAAGAGUGUGUACCCCUCUGUAAAAUGAGUGGGUUACCUCCCGUCCUUUGUUGACCUCUUAGGAGGUUAUUUUGAACUUUCUGCUUCGGUGGGGUUAAACCUACCGGAACACCCUCAAAUUCUUAUCAUUUAAAAAUUGUUCAGUCUGAUUUUAAUAAAAUAAAACAAAAAACUUUCAACAACGGAUCUCAGAUCGG
rnacentral:misc_RNA from 1 species